CUUCUUGUGUAUGCUUUAUCGUUGUUCACCGCUUCAAUAACAUUGCUGCUCACACACACGUCAGUCUGUGGCAAACAAUUGGAGGGGGAGGUGUGUCGGUUUGCUCCAGAAAUCGUGUGUGAUUUUGGUGUUCUGGAAUUUGGUUCCAUCGCUGUUUGUUUUGGUGAAAUUGAAAAGGUAAGAAUCAUCAACCGAUGUAAAAGUGUGAGAGUAAGAUGAUGCUGAUGGUGACUAAUGCUUUUCUUUGUUUCUUUUCCUGCUUUCAUCCACUGAUGGCGUCGAGCAUCGCCGAGGGUGUGAUCGAAUGCGGAAAAUUCUAAACGAGGAGCUUCAUUCCGGAUUUUGUUUGCAAUAAGCGCUGAAAUCAUCCUCCAGCUUAUAACGAACGGUCAACGGAUGAGGAAGGAGAGGAAGGACGGCAAAGGUACACGCACAAACGUGCACACCUCAGUCUUGUCGGAGAACGAGAACACGGGAGGGGGAGAUCGGCAACGUAGGUUCUAUACGUUCUUCAUUUACGCUCCCUCGUGCGUUCGUGCGUGCGUGCGCGCGCGUAUCUAUGUGUGUGUAUGUGUGUGCAUGCCUGUGUGGCUGUGUGUGUUUUUGCGGCUUCGCGUUAACGAGAUCCUACGGGAUCACCUUGCGAAAAACACCAAGAGAGGGGGUAGGGGUAUGUGCCUGUGUGUGUAUGUGUGCUUGCAUGCGUACGUGGUUGUGAGUGUGUUUUUUGCUGUUUUGCGAUCUCCUACGGAAUCAAAAGGGGGUGGGGGGGAAACACGAGGGGGGAAGGAGUGGGGUGUGUGUUUGUGUGCUAGCCUGCAUGCGUGCGUGGCUUUGUGUGUGUUUUUGCGUUCGCGUUCUCCUACGGGAUUACCUUGCGAAAAACACCAUGGGGAGGAGGAGGUGUGUGUGUGUUUUAUUUUCUUUGUCGUUUCGCACUCUCCCGCGGGUCUCCUUGUGUGCGUUAGUUUUUUUGUUUUUCAACAAGAAAAAAAAUACUUUGAAAAAUACCAGUGGGAAGGGUGUGUGUAUGAAUGAAAGAAUGUGCUUAGAAAAAGAAAGUGGAAAAAAAUUGAACAACGGAUUCGUAAGUGUGUUUGAACUCAUUGCAAUCCGAAAAAAAGCGAGGGGGGCUCUUGAAAUGUAGUACUCAUGUAUGCAACAUGUAUCGUGUCGCCGCGACGGUGUAUCUCGCUCGAUCCGUUAAGCCUGAAAAGUGCUUCUAUCGGAUCGUCUAAUCGGGCGCCAUUUAAUCAAUCCGUUAGCGAAAAGUCGCAUGGAUUUUGGUACCGGGGUUUGCUUAAUUUUAAAUUGGCGACCAUUUAUUAGGAUGCCAAAUUUUUCUAGAUAAUUUAGCUCCGUUACAAAGGAUCGCAAAUAAUCCUCAACUGAUUCCGGUUUGGAUUCGCCCGCAAAAAUGACCUCUGUCAUCACCGGCACCUCUGGCAUCUCAGGGAGCCGCAUUAGAAUCGGCCAGAAUUGGUUCAAUCCACUCUUAUGAAGAGGUAACCCAUCAAUAAAAAAAUCCAAUUCUAUUGUCCCUAAAUUUGGAGUCACAAGUCUAUAGUGCAAUGGAAAAUGUAUUAGUACAAAACAAUCUUCCCACUCUCCUCUCACCCCCCCCCCCCACCAACCAUUUUUAAAACAAGAAAA